GCCUGGGUGGCUCAGUCGGUUGAGCGUCCGACUUUGGCUCGGGUCACGAUCUCACGGUCCGUGAGUUCGAGCCCCGCGUCGGGCU
rnacentral:tRNA from 1 species